GGGAGGUGUUGGGGCUGCAGGAACAGCGGCGUUUCACCGUGGAGGAGCUGUGCAGCGCUGGGGAAAAGGAGAAGCUCGCUGCGAGGGGCUGCUCGGCCAUGGGAAAAUAGCGCCCGCGCCUUGGACAGUAGAGGGAAUCGGCUGGGUGAAAAAAAAUGGACAGGGUGCUGCAGGGAGAUGGGAGCGACCGGAGGUUGAAGACAACGGAGAAAGCGCUACUCGCAGGGGGAAAUGCCAUGGGAGAGAGAGGUGGACGAGCUGCUGGCUGGAGGAAGAAGAAGGGGGAGCCGGCUGGAAUUUUCUGGGCGCCAUGGAUCAGAGAGCAGGGCGGCCAGGGAGAAGAAGAGGGUGCCUUGCUGCAGGGGCGUCGAGCGCCAUGGGAGAAGGAGAUGCAGAGGGGCGCUGGCUUGCUGCUGGCCGUGGAGCAGGGGACACGCCCAGGAGAAUGACAGGGAGCGCGCUCGGCUGGAGGUUCUGCUUGCCUGCAGGGAGCGCACGGCUGCUCUCCAUCCCUGUAGGGCGAGCGACAGCAGGGGAGAGAGGCCGACCGUCGAGGUUGCUGCCCCCCCCCCCCCCCCCCCCGCGCACGCUGGAGCUUGCUCGAGGAAGGGGAGGAGACGCCAUGGACAGGGAAGCUCCCUGCGCGCUGGCUGCUGUGCGUGGGAGGAAGAAAGGUUGCUGGCGGCUGAAAAUUUUUGAGGGGUGGGAGUGCAAAA
rnacentral:misc_RNA from 1 species